AACGCGAAGAACCUUACCAAGGCUUGACAUACCACCGGAAUCAUGCAGAGAUGUGUGSGUUUUGGACUGGUGUACAGGUGGUGCAUGGUUGUUGUCAGCUUGUGUUGUGAGAUGUUGGGUUAAGUCCCGCAACGAGCGCAACCCUUGUUCCAUGUUGCCAGCACUUWAAGGUGGGGACUCAUGGAGACUGCCGGGUCAACUCGGAGGAAGGUGGGGAAGACGUCAAAUCAUCAUGCCCCUUAUGUCGUGGGCUUCACGCAUGCUACAAUGGCCGGUACAGAGGGUUGCGAAACCGUGAGGUGGAGCUAAUCCCAAAAAACCGGUCUCAGUUCGGAUUGGGGUCUGCAACUCGACCCAUGAGUCGGAGUCGCUAGUAAUCGGCAGAUCAGCAACGCUGCGGUGAAUACGUUCCCGGG
rnacentral:rRNA from 1 species